rnacentral:rRNA from 1 species
UAACCUGCCCAAGAGAUCGGGAUAACACCUGGAAACAGAUGCUAAUACCGGAUAAUAACAGAUGAUGCCUAUCAACUGUUUAAAAGAUGGUUCUGCUGUCACUCUUGGAUGGACCUGCGGUGCAUUAGCUAGUUGGUAGGGUAACGGCCUACCAAGGCGAUGAUGCAUAGCCGAGUUGAGAGACUGAUCGGCCACAUUGGGACUGAGACACGGCCCAAACUCCUACGGGAGGCAGCAGUG